AUUCUGGCAGUAGCUUAAGGCCUGCAUUGGCAAAGCUCAAAAGGGGUUACCUUGGAGAAGAAUGCAGUAGGUGAGAGAUAAUGACAGUUUAGAGCAGGAUGAGAGAAGUGGAUGGAUUUGAGAGGCAUUCACAAGGCAAAAUCUGGAGAAGGAAUCAAGGACAGCUGCAAGGCUUUUGGCUGGUAUAGCUGGGUGCGCCUUUUAAAGAGAUGGGAGACAAGCAGGUUGAGAGUGAGGAGAAUACUUACAGGCGUCUCCUACAAGUCUGCUUAAGAGAAUGUUUCCUCCAGAGACAGCAGGACUGACAUAUGUCCCUGAAAGAAGUUUUCCAGCAGAAGCAGAGAAGAGAUCUCAUGGGAAAAUAAGCCAAGGAAAACAGGACCAUCUAAUAUGUAUCUUCUCUGCAGAUGAGUACCAGGGAAACACCGAUGAGAUGAUCGAGGACUCAUGCCAGCAUCCAGGAGCUCCAGAAUGCAAACUCUCCAAACUAAACUCACUCAAAAAUUGAAUAGAAAAAGGGAGACAAAGGUGCAGUGAAUUUUUAUUUGUACACUUCCAUGUCUGUGUGUAAGUGUAUAUGAGGCCAUGUACACUAUGCUAGAAAUUCUUGGAAGUUUCCAUUGAUUCUCCAUAUUUCCUACAAUCAAUUCAUAAUCCCAGAAAAUCCAAAAUUGGCCUUUAUUCCAAUUUUCAAGUAUAAACUACAUUUAUUCAGGUUCUUAGGUACACACAGGCAUCUACAAUUUUUAUUUUGUUUUGUUUUUAAAUAGGGUCUUGCUGUGUUGCUCACUGUGUUGUUCAAAUUUUGGGCUCAAGUGAUCUUCCUGUCCCAGGCUGGCCCAGUAGCUGGCCCAUAGGAGUGCAUUGCCACGCCUAGCAAGUAUAUUUAAAAAAAAAAAAACAGAGCUUACUUGGCUACUGUGUGAUAGGAUGACAUUUUGAAAGUUUUCAGCUUUGGUGAGAGAAUUGUGGAGUGAUGUAAAAGUUGAAUGGUCUUGCCUCAAAGUUAGGUAGAUAUCUUUCUGAUGUCCAGAUUCUUUUUGGGAAACUUCGGUUUUCUAGUGUCAUUUAAUUACUUUUCUUUCUCAAGAAGGGUUGAGUUAACUGAAUUUGCAGCUUAUCUGUUCAUUCAACCAUCCACCCACCUAUCUGUCCAUCCAUCCAUUCAUCCAUCCAUCCAUCCAUCCAUCAUGCACUUUUGUCAUCCUUAAAACAUCUACUAGAAGAGAACAAUUAAUGCUGGUCUGAAUAACUGAUGCUUGGGAAGUUGAUAGAUAUUUUUUCACAUGUAUGUAUUUUAACAGAAAUGCUAUAUAUGGAACACCUAUCACAGUGCCUUGCAUGUGAACACAUUGAGGCAAUCGUGGGCUCCAAUGGCAAAGAUUAUAACAGUCCAUGCAACCUACUGAGGCAUAGGAGUUAUAUAAAAUGCAGCCUCAUAAUUAUCUAGACACAUUUGAGAAGUUCUUUAUAAUUUGAAAAUUGCUUUGACUUUUAAAAAGAAAUUUGAUGAGCAAUUACUCUAUAAUAAUAGAUUUUUAAACUUAUUAUUUAAAAAAAUAAUGAGAGAACUGUUUGAACAAAUUGCUUUUAAGAAAAUCUAGCUUUCUUUCCAACCUCUGGCCACUUUUCCAGGAGAAAGGAGUAAAUUAAAACACAGAUUGUGGUAUUAAUGAGCUAUAAAAUAAUAUUUAUUAUUUGCAAAAGAGCCAUGGAAAUAAGCACUGGCCUGUGGGCCAGGAAAUUAAAAGAAAUCAGGAAGCAGAUCUAAUAAUAAUCAUAACUGUGUACUUGAUUUAAACAAAGUAUUUCUGUUCUCAUCCAGUCCCUAUCCCUAUUAGAGAAGAAUUGAUAAAUACUUUUUCCUUUGCUUUGUUUCCCUAUUAAAGAAUCAAUUUAAUUUUUUGAAGAUCA